GGCAUGCUUCGCACCUUCUCUUCGACCAUCAACAACACCUCACGAUAAUUUCUACGUGUACUACGCUUAGUAAGAUGAAACACCAUCUCGUCGAGCGAGGGAGCAUUUUGCAGGAGACUCCCUAUAAAUGGAAUUAUUGAGGGGUCCUGUGAAGAACAAGUUAUAUCAACUCUCUUUAGAUGGAUCAGUGAGGGACUGGGGAAUGCCGUCUCAUCGCUGAUGGGAUCAAAAACCUCGAACCCCUAUCAAAGAAAUUACUAAUUUAGUACUCAAAAGAGUGUAUCAAUUUCCCAUUUAGGAUGUGAACUUUAUUCUUAAAAGUGAAUAAAAGUGAAACCUGGUCUAGUCCAUGAAAAUAUAACAUCUUCAACUUUGGGAACAACUC
rnacentral:lncRNA from 1 species